UACGUAGGGUCCAAGCGUUAAUCGGAAUUACUGGGCGUAAAGCGUGCGCAGGCGGUUCGUUAAGUCAGCUGUGAAAGCCCCGGGCUUAACCUGGGAACUGCGAUGGAAACUAGCGAGCUGGAGUGUGGCAGAGGGGGGUGGAAUUCCGCGUGUAGCAGUGAAAUGCGUAGAGAUGCGGAGGAACACCGAUGGCGAAGGCAGCCCCCUGGGCUAACACUGACGCUCAGGCACGAAAGCGUGGGGAGCAAACAGG
rnacentral:rRNA from 1 species